UAAAAGAUAAGCUAAAUAAGCUACUGGGUUCAUACCCCAUUUAUAAAGGCCAUACUCCUUUUCUUUUAA
rnacentral:tRNA from 1 species